GUCCCUGUAGUACAACAAAUAGUACGUUGGACUUCUAAUGCAAGGGUGGGGGUUCGAAUCCCACCUGGGAUG